rnacentral:tRNA from 1 species
GGACCUGUAGCUCAGCGGAAUGAGAGCGCGACUCUGCGAAGGUCGAGGUCGCACGUUCAAAUCGUGCCAGGUCCACCA